rnacentral:tRNA from 1 species
GCCUGUAUGGGGAUCGGUUUCGACCCGUUUAAUAAGUUUAACUUUCUAUGCU